AAAUUGAAGAGUUUGAUCAUGGCUCAGAUUGAACGCUGGCGGCAGGCCUAACACAUGCAAGUCGAACGGUAACAGGAAGCAGCUUGCUGCUUUGCUGACGAGUGGCGGACGGGUGAGUAAUGUCUGGGAAACUGCCUGAUGGAGGGGGAUAACUACUGGAAACGGUGGCUAAUACCGCAUAACGUCGCAAGACCAAAGAGGGGGACCUUCGGGCCUCUUGCCAUCAGAUGUGCCCAGAUGGGAUUAGCUUGUUGGUGAGGUAACGGCUCACCAAGGCGACGAUCCCUAGCUGGUCUGAGAGGAUGACUAGCCACACUGGAACUGAGACACGGUCCAGACUCCUACGGGAGGCAGCAGUGGGGAAUAUUGCACAAUGGGCGCAAGCCUGAUGCAGCCAUGCCGCGUGUAUGAAGAAGGCCUUCGGG
rnacentral:rRNA from 1 species